AGAACGAACGCUGGCGGCAUGCCUAAUACAUGCAAGUCGAACGAACUCUUCGGAGUUAGUGGCGCACGGGUGCGUAACGCGUGGGAAUCUGCCCCUUGGUUCGGAAUAACAGUUGGAAACGACUGCUAAUACCGGAUGAUGACGAAAGUCCAAAGAUUUAUCGCCAAGGGAUGAGCCCGCGUAGGAUUAGCUAGUUGGUGAGGUAAAGGCUCACCAAGGCAACGAUCCUUAGCUGGUCUGAGAGGAUGAUCAGCCACACUGGGACUGAGACACGGCCCAGACUCCGUACGGGAGGCAGCAGUAGGGAAUAGUUGGACAAGUGGGCGAAAAGCCUAGA
rnacentral:rRNA from 1 species